rnacentral:rRNA from 1 species
UACAGAGGUCUCAAGCGUUGUUCGGAUUCAUUGGGCGUAAAGGGUGCGUAGGUGGCGCGCUAAGUCAGGUGUGAAAUCUCGGGGCUUAACUCCGAAACUGCAUUCGAUACUGCCGUGCUUGAGGACUGGAGAGGAGACUGGAAUUUACGGUGUAGCGGUGAAAUGCGUAGAUAUCGUAAGGAAGACCAGUGGCGAAGGCGGGUCUCUGGACAGUUCCUGACGCUGAGGCACGAAGGUCAGGGGAGCAAACGGG